rnacentral:rRNA from 1 species
GACGAACGCUGGCGGCGUGCUUAACACAUGCAAGUCGAACGGAAAGGCCCUGCGUUUGUGGGGUGCUCGAGUGGCGAACGGGUGAGUAACACGUGAGUAACCUGCCCUUUACUUUGGGAUAACUUCAGGAAACUGGGGCUAAUACCGGAUAGGAGCUCCUGCUGCAUGGUGGGGGUUGGAAAGUUUCGGCGGUUGGGGAUGGACUCGCGGCUUAUCAGCUUGUUGGUGGGGUAGUGGCUUACCAAGGCUUUGACGGGUAGCCGGCCUGAGAGGGUGACCGGCCACAUUGGGACUGAGAUACGGCCCAGACUCCUACGGGAGGCAGCAGUGGGGAAUAUUGCACAAUGGGCGGAAGCCUGAUGCAGCAACGCCGCGUGCGGGAUGACGGCCUUCGGGUUGUAAACCGCUUUCGCCUGUGACGAAGCGUGAGUGACGGUACUGGGUAAAGAAGCACCGGCUAACUACGUG